rnacentral:rRNA from 1 species
CCAUAGGGCCAACCCAUCCCUGUUACAAAAGGGCGGGAAGAUUUUAAAGUAGAGGUGACACACCAAUCGAGCCUAGAGAUAGCUGGUUAUUCAAAAAACGGAUUUAAGUCCAACUUUAAGCUUCCACCAGUGGCACAAACAACCCAUAAACUUAAAAGCCAUUCAAAUAAGGUACAGCCUAUUUGAACAAGGAGACAACCUACAAUAUAGGGUAAUGACCACCACACCUGGUUAAGUAGGCCUAAAAGCAGCCAACUUCAAAAAGCGUCCAAGCUUCACCACAUUAACAACUAAUCCCCCCAUUUACCCACAACCCACAACUAACACUGAAUGACCCCAUACCUGUAUGGAAGACAUUAUGCUAGAACUAGUAACAAGAAGACGGACUUCUCCAAAAUGCAAACAUAGGCCAAAAUGAACCCCCCACCGGCACUUACCGCUAUUACAACCACAGUACCAACUACACAAGAAAAACCCUACUACAC